ensembl:ncRNA Y40C7B.9 ncRNA
UGAGUAUAGUUCUCUCUUUAUUCUAGUUUUUCCAAUUUCCAACAUUUCAUAAUUAGCAACUCUAUUUAUGAAUUCUGUAUAAUUUGGGAAUACAUCACAAGCUUCUCUAAUUGUUUUAUAUUCUUCAUGAGAUGGUAAGUUAUCAC